rnacentral:lncRNA from 1 species
GAUCUUUGCAGUUCUAAACUCUCAUUCGUGAAAAUCUUCAACUUCUUGUGUUGCUUCUCGUGCAGCGUCCUCUUGCUUUGGGUUUGAUCCUCUCCCAGCAGAUUUUCUGUUCGCAGCGGCGUCUCCGGCAGUCUUCAACAAUCGCGCAGCUUGUGGGACCUUUUUCUGCGUGAGAUGCACUGGAAAUGGCUGCAGGAAUGGCAACACCAUCCGAGUGCAGAUCGUGGAUCUUUGCCCGGGCUGUCCAGGUGCUUUUGAUCUCUCCCAAGAGGCAUUUGCACGUAUUGCAGACCCAGCUGUUGGAGUUAUCAGUGUCAACUACAACGCAUGCUAGAUAUCUCUGAUAUCAUGAUCAGUAAUCAUACACAAUAAUUUAUCAAGAGGAUUGAUGAAUCGUUCUCGAUUCUAGCCUUCUUACCCAUACACAAUCGUGAGAGCUUUGAAAUCUUUUCCAAGCUUUAAUGGCGUGGUAUGUAGUGAUCUUACAUGGCAAAGUCUGGGACGUGGAGUUCGAGGCUUCAAGGGAAGAAAUACUGAAAGAUGUCGCACUGAAAGAAGCCACCUUGUGCCAUCAAAGGUUGGGAGUCUGUCAAAACAUUCUCCACGUCAGCCGAAGUCCAAGACCUUGACACAAAAGAUCGGGAGCUUCACUGCAAAUAUGAAGGUGGCAAUGCUGGAAGUGAUUCCGGAAGAGAAAGAAGUUGCCUCAGCUGAGUAUCAAUGUUUGCAAGGUGUUCCUCAAACGUGAAGUGGUAGGUAACUUCAAUGUCAGUGCUGUUGCAAUGAAAACUUUCCAUCUUGUGCAAUGAAAGAUCUUCGUUCAACUCAACAGUUUACAGGAAGGACUUGUAGUUGAGGAUGCGACGACUUGUGGAGAAUCUUGUGCAUUCAGAUAGUGGCCAUGAGCAUUGUAGAGUGUGGCCUUUGAAUGUCCAUUAGAGAUGUCCUUAACAGGCUGUGGCUCGCCCAUUAACUUGAUUCGACCAUUGGCAAUUGUCGGAUUGAGUCACGUUCUCUGCGAGAACGUGGUUGACAACUGCCAGGUUCUCCAGAACCUAGUUGCCAGCUGCCAAUUCUGGAGAACCCUCUCAUCCUCCAAUAAUGUUAUUCCACGUGUCCAUUAAUGGUCUCGCCACAGCCCGUUAAAGCCGUUCCCGGGCACGGCCUUGCUCGUUCCCUCCAGAAGGCGCUUGCCGGGCUAACGCCCGGCUCGCCUGUUCUGGGCGGGAACGUGCUCGCCCUACCCAGGAACUGCCUCAUCUUUCCAAGCUUCCAAAUGGUGAUGCCAUUCACCUUCUUAUGCCAUCCGCAUUCAAGGAUUAUGGAAUCCUUCAGAGGUGUGGAGCCAAGCUGUUGGUAGUCCACCACCACAAAAUCUGCCUAUGAAGGGAGGCCAAAUACUGAAAACCGAACGCCACUGGCAAAUGCCUGUGGGAACCAUAGUGUGAUUAGCAAAUGUCUUCAGGAUUAAAGUGUGCUUUGAGAUGUGAAUAUGUGAUGCUUGGGCAGCUUCCAUGGAGAUGAUGUUGCUGCUUUAACCAGAGUCGACGGGAGCGUCAAGGAUGGGCAAUCCAUGGCUGAAGUCCACUAGUGCAAAGAAUGUGCCAGGAUCUGGAAAAACAGUUUUGUCAAUCAGAUGUACGAACAGGAAAUCUGCUGGAAGAGGAAAGCAAGACGACGCUGCAUGAGGAGCAACACAAGAAGUUGAUCAAGAUUUGAUUGCGGAUGAAAGUUUCUAUAUAAAGAUCUUAUGUAGUUAUGGAGGUGUGUCGAAUGUAGCCCUGCUGGAAAUUCCCUGGGCCACGCUUGGCUCCACGAGUGCCAGGAAAAGCGCGGCGACAAUGACUAGAGCAGCAAAUCCUUUGCUAGAAGUCAUGAGCGAGACUGUUUGAAGAAGAACUGGGGCUGCUUGAGACGAGUAACUCGAGUGUGCGAGGACUUUAUACUCGAGAGACGUGUAUUCUACUUUGAAGUUUCACAGCGGGCCACCAAAAACAACUCUGAGUAAUGGACAUGGGAUUUCUAACACGACUUAUCUCGUAUGUCCUCAAGAUCAGUUAUCUCGUUUCUCCAUUCUAGAGUCGUGUUCAAGUUUACGUAGAAAAGGGUUUUACCGUUCUCUGAGACACGAGCCGUAAGAUUAUCAAGUAAGUCUGUUCAAUUGAAAACGAUGAAGUGCUGGGCUCGUCACGAGCCACAAUAUUAUCCAAUUGAACACGACAUGAAAUCUUUGUUUUGUAUUAAGGCUUAUUCAUAUCAUACUAGUGUUUAGUUUUUCAACAUUGAAAUACGUACUUACUUCGGCUUCUCAUCACGUCCCAAAUGCUUAGCACCUAUGAUAAGUAAGAGAGAUUAUAACAUCACCAACAUAGAUUUCUUUUAUCAUUCUUACUGGUAGUAGUCGAUGUUGAUGACACCGGCAUCUGGGUUUGCAAUUCUUGCAAAUGCCUGCUGGGAGAGAUCAAAGGCACCUGGGCAGCCCGGGCAAAGAUCCAGGAUCUUCACGCGGAUAACAUUGCUGUUCCUGCAGCCAUUGCUCGUGCAUUUCACGCAGUAGUAGCGUCCGCAAGCGGCUCCAUUGCUGUAAAUAGAUGGAGCCGCUGCUGCAAAGCUAUAAUCUGAUGGAAGAGAACCAUAGCCAUAGCAAGCUGAUGCUGGUGGAUCAGAGAAAAACAUUUUUAGUUGUUAUUGUGCAUGAUGAAUUCGUGAAAGCUUAUUAUAAGUUCUUACGCUUGUAUUGGUUGUAGAAAGUGGCUUUGCUUGCGAUUCCUAGGCUUGGCUCCGCCAAGAGCAGCGUGGUGGCAAUGAAGAAAGCAGCAAAGGCUUUGGUAGAAGCCAUGGAUGUAUGGAACAGGAUAAUCACGAACGAGUGUUUGAUGUUGAAAAUAAUCGUGCGAUGGGGAAGAUAAUCGUCAUGUGAUUAGAUGUGUAAAAGUUAAAUUCUGCAAUUCAAGAAAAGAUCUUAUUUCAAAGCCCUUGGCAAACCUAUCUCAAGUUGAAUACUUCAUAAUGAAUUGAAAGUAGAACGAGUGUUCAAGAGACUGUUUGAUGUUGAAGCUUAUCGUGAACGAGUGGUUGAUGAUGAAGAUAAUCCUCAUGUGAUUAUAUUAUAGUUGAGGAAUGAAAGUUCAAAACGAUAUCAAAUUCUGCGAUGCCAGAAUAAUUCAAGACUAGAACAUGAUGCUGGAUGCGUAUAGAAUCUUAUUGCUGGAAGAGCUUAUUUGAAAGCCAUAAAAUUCCGUGUAACCUGUAAAUUCAUUAACACCAAACUUCAAUAAUGCGAGCAGAACCAUUAGAUUAAAAAUAAAUAAGCUGUAAUUAAAGGUAGUUAUUAGAAUUUUUUUAUUGUCAGGAUUCGAACUUGUACAAAGAUUUAUUUGUAUCUUGGCUCACAAAGCUCCCACUUUCUUUCCACCACUCUUCUCGACCAAGGCCUUGUAGCUUCCAGUGUGAAACUUCCCUUCCUUGUCUGUGAAGCCAGAGAGCUCCGUCUGCCACAGCCUCUUCCCAGCUUCAUUCACAAGGUGGCCAUCCUGCCAGAAUCCCCACAGCACCACUCCCUCCACCGCUGGAUGAGCAAACGCUUCGUGCAGCACAGCCUCCAAGUCGUCCGCUCGGACGUGCUCAUUGCUCGAAGACACGUUCAGCAAGCCACAAAGAAUUACCCCCACGGGAAUGUAGACAUGACCUUGGACUCAGAUACCACUGACUGGAGCACCUUAUGUUGUGUAUAUACACUCUCUAUGACGUGAGCUUAAAUAGCAGUAAUGCCACCUCACUGAUCCAGGUGUAGGCUAGAGGUGUGUUUCUUGAUCAUGUCUAUCUUUGUCCAUUGUAACUUCUGCAUAUCUCUUCAUGGUAUCAGAGUUGUAAGGUUUUGAGAGGGAAAUAGAGUCCUGUCAUGGAUAUGAGAGAAUGAUUGGAUGCAGAGGGGAUUCAUGUCAUUGAGAUUAAGAGAGUGUUAAGUAUAUAUGCUUUCUAUGACAUGAGCGUGGUGCCAUCUCAUGUACGCUAGAUCUUGAUCAUGUAUAUUUAGCUAUGACAAUAUAUUCAAGCUAUCCUUGUCCAUCAUAGCUUCCACAUAUCUCUUCACCUUGUGCGAUUGAACUCUCAAUUUGCUGGACGUGUCUCUGAGCUGAGGAGCUCACCUCUCGACCAUCUUCAACGUGGUAGUCAUUGACAAAGAGCCUGACCGGUGGAUCCAGAGCUUGAACAUGUUGCGUGAACCUCGUCACCCAGCCUGCUCUUGUAGAAAUCCCUGUCGUUGUUCACGUCACAGUGUUGGAACUGAAGGCAGGGCUCUCUCUACCACCUGAUCACGUUCUAGAGGUUGCUCUAAGCCUGUCACCCUGGAAGCUUUUAUGGACUCUUCCAGGAUUCAGACAGACUUGAGAAUUUUGCCCACUCAGCAGAGGCAUCUCCUCUUCUCCUCAUAGUGUUAGCAGCAUCUCCGACAGUCUUCAACAAUCUCAGAGCUUCUUCUGCUUGAGAUGCACUGGAAACGGCUGCAGGGAUGGGAACACCAUCCGAGUGCAGAUCGUGGGUGCUGUCCAGGCGCCUUUGAUCUCUCCCAAGAGGCAUUUGCACGAAUUGCAAACCCAGAUGUUGGAGUUAUCAGCAUCAUCUACAACUGAUGCUAAAUGUCUCUGAUAUCCUUCUGAUAUCUCACUCGCACGUGUUUCCAUGAUCAUACACAAUAAACGAUCUAUCAAGAGGAUUGGUAAAUCAAAGGAUCUCAUUUUUGGCUGAUCGAUUCUAGCUUCCCUUCCCACUUAUAAUUGCGAGAGCUUUGAAAUGACCACGAAUACGGAUGUGGUAUGUAACACUGUCAUAAACAUUUGAGAGUAUGCAAUUUUCCCUUGUUUUAAACCAAUGCUUCUAAAAUAAUGGUUUUGAUUUUCACAUAUUUCUUAUGAAUUUUUAGAAAGCCUUUUAAAUUUCUCAAUGUAACUUGCACUUGCCCUUAUCAUAUUGACAUCGCUGUGGAUUGUUGAUCGACUUGCUUCCAGCUGUCUCCUUGUGCCGCAUCUUAGGGCUUGACUCUUAAUCCAGGCCCGGGCCUCCAUGGCACUGAGUUGUCACCCUCAGCACAGAAUGCUCUUCGGGUGAUUCACAGCAGACAUCCAGAAUUUCCAAGACGAUGGCAAUUCCCUUGCCACACCACACACCCAGCCUGAGCAUGCAGGGACUUCCCGUCUGUAGAUGUUAGUCCACUAGUGAUGAGCAAAGCCAAGGUCCAUAACUUUCUAUGAUUGUGUGGGAUUCAGAUGAAGCCAUCAUCAUCUUACCCAUACGAAGAGCUUUACAAGCUCAUUGAAUUAUGCCCCUUGAAGUUUUAAUAUCCUUAUGAAGUUUAAGAACUUCAAGAGGAAAGGAAGAUCUCCAUGCUUUCACGCUCACCUAUAGUGUUUGUGAUUGUGAUGGAAUGUCUACUGCCAUUGUUCACAUAGAUUGUUAGUCCCAAACAACUUGGGGAAUGGCAAUUCUUAAUGCCUACCAGGUUUUCAACCAUGCUUCUUGGAUAUAAUAAGCCAGACGUUAUUAGGCUUUUGCAAAUAUGACAAAUUCCAUUUAUGCAAUUUUCACUUAAUGGAAAAUGGGGCUUAAACUUUUACAAACUAACAUAAACCAACAUAAAUUAACAGUUGGCCAAAACGAAUACUUCUACAGAUGUCAUAAGGAUUAUAUGAAAACAAAGAUAAGAGUCUUUCACGUCGUUUUCAAAUGGAUAGACUUCGAUAAUCUUGCCCGUGACAACUCCAAGUUUUCUAGAGUGAGAUAUACGAAAACUUCGCACCCAAACUCUUCAUCGUUUAGAAUUGGAUAGACUUUCAUGAUAAUCGUAUUGCUCGUGACUCAGAGAGCGGCAAACUCUUUUAUACGUAAACUUGAACACGCCUCUAGAACGGAGAAUCGAGACAACUGAUUUGAGGAAAAACGUGUUGAAAAUCCCACGUCAAUUACGCAGAGUCCUUUUUGGUGGCCCAGGAACUCCGCUGUGAAACUUCAAAGUAGAACAAUCGUUGCAUUCCCGUCCCAGCGAGCUCUUGAGUAUAAAGUCCGAGUUUUCAAUACACUCGUCUCAAGCAGCUCCAUAUCUUCUUCAAACAUUCUCGUUCUUGCUACACAAAUCAUGGCUUCUAGCAAAGGAUUUGCUGCUCUAGUCAUUGCCGCCGUGCUUCUCCUGGCACUCGUGGAGCCAAGUGUGGCCCAGGGAAUUUCCAGCAGGGCUACGUUCUACACACCUCCAUACCAGCGUAAGCUUUUUGCAGUUCUAAACUCUCAUUCGUGAAAAUCUUCAACUUCUUGUGUUGCUUCUCGUGCAGCGUCCUCUUGCUUUGGGUUUGAUCCUCUCCCAGCAGAUUUUCUGUUCGCAGCGGCGUCUCCGGCAGUCUUCAACAAUCGCGCAGCUUGUGGGACCUUUUUCUGCGUGAGAUGCACUGGAAAUGGCUGCAGGAAUGGCAACACUAUCCGAGUGCAGAUUGUGGAUCUUUGCCCGGGCUGUCCAGGUGCUUUUGAUCUCUCCCAAGAGGCAUUUGCAC